rnacentral:rRNA from 1 species
UCCAAUCGAACCCGGAGAUAGCUGGUUCUCCCCGAAAUAGCUUUAGGGCUAGCGUCGCAGCGAGAGAGCCGUGAAGGUAGAGCACUGAAUAUGCGAUGGCCGCAUCCCGCGGUACUGAGCAUAAUCAAACUCCGAAUGUCACGGUGUCAUCUGCGGCAGUCAGACGGCGAGUGAUAAGGUCCGUCGUCAAGAGGGAAACAGCCCAGACCAUCAGCUAAGGUCCCAAAGUGCAUGCUAAGUGGAAAAGGAAGUGGAGACGUGCAGACAACUAGGAGGUUGGCUCAGAAGCAGCCAUCCUUCAAAGAGUGCGUAACAGCUCACUAGUCGAAUGACUCUGCGCCGAUAAUUUACCGGGGCUAAGCAUGACACCGAAGCUAUGGACAGGAAUGUGGUAGGGGAGCAUUGCAUGCAGCGGAGAAGCAUGACCGAAAGGGCAUGUGGAGCGCAUGGAAGAGAGAAUGCCGGCGUGAGUAGCGGCACGUGGGUGAGAAUCCCACGCACCGAUGGCCCAAGGUCUCCAGAGGAAGGCUCGUCCUCUCUGGGAUAGUCGGGACCUAAGGCGAGGCCGAAAGGCGUAGCCGAUGGACGACGGGUGGAUAUUCCCGUACCCGAUGUGUGGCGAUGGAGUGACGGAGAAGGCUCAGGCAACCAGCUGAUGGAAUAGCUGGGGCAAGCGAGAUACCUGCGCACCAGGGAAAUCCGGUGCGCAUAAGGGGAAGGCGCGAUGCAUACGGAAAGCUUCGGCAAGUACGGAAAAGCUGAGAGCAGGCUUCCAGGAAAAGCUUCUAGCACAACACACAUCGGCCCGUACCGAAAAUGGACACACAUGGGCAAGGAGAGAAUCCUGAGGUGAGCGAGAGAACUAUAGCUAAGGAACUCUGCAAAAUGACCCCGUAACCUAGGGAGAAGGGGUGCUCCAGAAAUGGAGCCGCAGUAAAACGGCCCAAGCGACUGUUUACCAAAAACACAGCUCUCUGCGAAGGCGCAAGCCGAAGUAUAGGGGGUGACGCCUGCCCGGUGCUGGAAGGUCAAGGGGAGCUGUCAGCGCAAGCGAAGCAGCGAGCCGAAGCCCCAGUAAACGGCGGCCGUAACUAUAACGGUCCUAAGGUAGCGAAAUUCCUUGUCGGGCAAGUUCCGACCCGCACGAAAGGCGUAACGAUUUGGGCGCUGUCUCAGCUGUAGACUCGGUGAAGUCUUAGUACCUGUGAAGAUGCAGGUUGCCCGCGACUAGACGGAAAGACCCCAUGGAGCUUCACUGCAGGUUGACAUUGGGCUUGGAUGCAUGAUGUACAGGAUAGGUGGGAGGCUGUGAGCCGUGCGCGCCAGCGUACGGGGAGCCGCUGUUGGGAUACCACCCUUCAUGCAUCUAGGUCCUAACCGGAGGCAACGGGCCACGGGACAGUGUCAGUCGGGCAGUUUGACUGGGGCGGUCGCCUCCCAAAGAGUAACGGAGGCGCCCAAAGAUACCCUCAGCAUGGAUGGAAACCAUGCAUAGAGUGCAAAGGCAUAAGGGUGUCUGACUGCGAGACAUACAGGUCGGGCAGGGACGAAAGUCGGGCUUAGUGAUCCGGCGGAUCCGAAUGGAAGGGCCGUCGCUCAACGGAUAAAAGCUACCCUGGGGAUAACAGGCUGAUCUCCCCCAAGAGUCCACAUCGACGGGGAGGUUUGGCACCUCGAUGUCGGCUCAUCGCAUCCUGGGGCUGUAUUCGGUCCCAAGGGUUUGGCUGUUCGCCAAUUAAAGCGGUACGCGAGCUGGGUUCAGAACGUCGUGAGACAGUUCGGUCCCUAUCUGUCGUGGGCGCAGGAGGUUUGAGGAGAGCUGCCCCUAGUACGAGAGGACCGGGGUGGACGGACCGAUGGUGCACCAGUUGUCACGCCAGUGGCACAGCUGGGCAGCCAAGUCCGGACGGGAUAAGCGCUGAAGGCAUCUAAGCGUGAAGCCCCCUCCAAGAUGAGACCUCCCAUUGGCGACAAGUAAGGCCCCUCGAAGACGACGAGGUUGAUAGGCCGCGAGUGCAAGCGCAGCGAUGUGCUUAGCGGGGCGGUACUAAUAGGCCGAGGACUUGGCCAA